rnacentral:rRNA from 1 species
AUCUUCCACAAUGGGCGAAAGCCUGAUGGAGCAACGCCGCGUGAGUGAAGAAGGUUUUCGGAUCGUAAAACUCUGUUGUAAGGGAAGAACAAGUACAGUAGUAACUGGCUGUACCUUGACGGUACCUUAUUAGAAAGCCACGGCUAACUACGUGCCAGCAGCCGCGGUAAUACGUAGGUGGCAAGCGUUGUCCGGAAUUAUUGGGCGUAAAGCGCGCGCAGGCGGUCCUUUAAGUCUGAUGUGAAAGCCCACGGCUCAACCGUGGAGGGUCAUUGGAAACUGGGGGACUUGAGUGCAGAAGAGGAAAGUGGAAUUCCAAGUGUAGCGGUGAAAUGCGUAGAGAUUUGGAGGAACACCAGUGGCGAAGGCGACUUUCUGGUCUGUAACUGACGCUGAGGCGCGAAAGCGUGGGGAGCAAACAG